AUUGAACGCUGGCGGCAUGCCUAACACAUGCAAGUCGAACGAGUGGCGGACGGGUGUGUCAUGUCUGGGAAACUGCUUGAUGGCGGGGGAUACUUACUGGAAACGGUGGUUAUUACCGCAUACCUUCGGCUUUGCCCUGAUGGGAUUAGCUAGUAGGUGGGGUAACGGCUCACCUAGGCGACGAUCCCUAGCUGGUCUGAGAGGAUGAACAGCCACACUGGAACUGAGACACGGUCCAGACUCCUACGGGAGGCAGCAGUGGGGAAUAUUGCACAAUGGGCGCAAGCCUGAUGCAGCCAUGCCGCGUGUAUGAAGAAGGCCUUCGGGUUGUAAAGUUCUUUCAGCGUGGAAGCGUUACCCGCAGAAGAAGCACCGGCUAACUACGUGCCAGCAGCCGCGGUAAUUC
rnacentral:rRNA from 1 species